UACAGAGGGUGCGAGCGUUAAUCGGAAUUACUGGGCGUAAAGCGCGCGUAGGCGGCUUUUCAAGUCGAUUGUGAAAUCCCCGGGCUUAACCUGGGAACUGCAGUCGAGACUGUCUAGCUAGAGUAUGGGAGAGGGAAGUGGGAAUUUCAGGUGUAGCGGUGAAAUGCGUAGAUAUCUGAAGGAACAUCAGUGGCGAAAGCGACUCCUGGACCAAUACUGACGCUCAUGUGCGAAAGCGUGGGGAGCAAACAGG
rnacentral:rRNA from 1 species